UACGAAGGGGGCUAGCGUUGUUCGGAAUUACUGGGCGUAAAGCGCGCGUAGGCGGCGUAUUAAGUCAGAGGUGAAAGGCCUGGGCUCAACCCAGGAACUGCCUUUGAGACUGGUGCGCUCGAGUUCGGAAGAGGGUAGUGGAAUUCCCAGUGUAGAGGUGAAAUUCGUAGAUAUUGGGAAGAACACCGGUGGCGAAGGCGGCUACCUGGUCCGAUACUGACGCUGAAGUGCGAAAGCGUGGGGAGCAAACAGG
rnacentral:rRNA from 1 species